rnacentral:rRNA from 1 species
ACGAAGGGUGCAAGCGUUAAUCGGAAUUACUGGGCGUAAAGAGCUCGUAGGUGGUUUGUCACGUUGUUCGUGAAAACCCACAGCUCAACUGUGGGCGUGCGAGCGAUACGGGCAGACUAGAGUACUGCAGGGGAGACUGGAAUUCCUGGUGUAGCGGUGGAAUGCGCAGAUAUCAGGAGGAACACCGGUGGCGAAGGCGGGUCUCUGGGCAGUAACUGACGCUGAGGAGCGAAAGCUAGGGGAGCGAACGGGA